GCUUCCUUAGCUCAGUCGGUAGAGCGCGAGUCUCAUAGUAUGAGCAACGAAAGCGUUGCCAAAUCUCGAGGUCGCAAGUUCGAGCCUUGCAGGGAGCA